UACAGAGGUCUCAAGCGUUGUUCGGAUUCAUUGGGCGUAAAGGGUGCGUAGGUGGCGCCGUAAGUCAGGUGUGAAAUUUCGGAGCUUAACUCCGAAACUGCAUUUGAUACUGCGGUGCUUUGAGGACUGGAGAGGAGACUGGAAUUUACGGUGUAGCAGUGAAAUGCGUAGAGAUCGUAAGGAAGACCAGGUGGCGAAGGCGGGUCUGCUGGACAGUUCCUGACACUGGAAGGCAAGCGAAAGCUAGGGGAGCAAACAGG
rnacentral:rRNA from 1 species